rnacentral:rRNA from 1 species
AGGACGAACGCUGGCGGCGUGGAUAAGGCAUGCAAGUCAAACGGUCCGCAAGGACAGUGGCAGACGAGGUAGUAACACGUAGGUACGCACCCCAAAGUCAGGAAUAACCAGUCGAAAGAUUGGCUAAUACUUGAUAGUCUCUUCGGAGUAAAGAUUUAUCGCUUUGGGAGCGGCCUGCGGGAUAUCAGCUAGUUGGUAAGGUAAUGGCUUACCAAGGCUAUGACGUCUAGGGGAGGUGAGAGCCUGACCCCCACCGAUGGAACUGAGAUACGGUCCAUACACCUACGGGUGGCCGCAGUCGAGAAUCUUCCACAAUGGGCGAAAGCCUGAUGGAGCGACGCCGCGUGAUGGAUGAAGUGCUUCGGCAUGUAAACAUCUUUUGUACGCGAGAAGGUAAUUGAUCAGCGUAAGAAUAAGGAGUUGCUAAACUCGUGCCAGCAGCCGC